GACCCUGGGGAAGGNUUCCA
rnacentral:rRNA from 1 species